rnacentral:lncRNA from 10 species
CAGACUGUAAGUGAUGGCCACUGCGGCCCCUGUGGACUGGCCCCUGUGAAGAUGCCAGCUGCAGUUGGGGAGGUAUGGCUGGGGCUGCACACUCCAUGGAGCUGACCGGAGCUGGGAACAUGCAGCAGCUGGGAACAGGCCCACCCAUGGCUGCCCAUGGACCAGUCAGCAUGUACUUCCUCCCUUCUGAAGCCCACAAAAACCCCAGCCCCAGCCAGACUCACAGAGAUGUCGGGACAACCUGCCUGCAGAUAGGCACUACCCACUCCAGAUGUUUCCUCCUGAGAGACUUGAAGGACCUAUGAGCAUCCACCUACUCUUCCCAAAGAUCAACUAGAGGGGAAAAGUAUAGAAAUAAUUGACUGCAAUCCAAGAUCCUGAGGGAGAUCGAAGAGCUUAAAGACCCAGGAAGAAGAUUAAGUAAAUUAACAAGAAAAGACUCCUCAAUACACACCUAAGGUGGAUUUUGUGAUGUCGAAUAAACUAUGAGGAAAAUAAAAUACCACCCUGCACCAUUCUCUGAGUUCCAAAUUAAGGAAAUGUUCUAUUCACAUAAUUUUAUGGUAAUGGUUUGUACAUCUGGCCUUUAGAGAUGGUUUUGAUUUUUAAUGUCUGUCUUCUCUACCAGGGUGUGUGCCUCCUGAGGAUAGUGACUGUGUCACUCUGAGGAAAGAAAGAAUGAGUUACUCUGAUCUUAAUUUAUUUAAGCAGAAGCUCACUCUUGCACCAGGACAGGACUGAUCAGGGCUUUAGAGAUUGUCAACAAACUUGCAAUUCAAAAAGAUGACAAAAAAUUUGACAUGUGACUUUUUGUAGAUCAGAGAAAUAGUGAGAUACCUAUUAAAGUAAUAUUUCUUUUCUUCAUUCAUGAGGGUUAUCAAUGACCAGGAUAAACCUCCUCAAAUUUAUGACAAAAAUAGAGAGACAUUAAUUUUACCAUAGACUAUAUAAUUGAAGUUACAUGAGAUGGAUUGUUUUUUUAAAGUUAUAUAAGAUAUAUAUAUAUAUACACACAUACACAUGCAGAGUGCAUGCAAGCCCCUAAAUCUUUUCUGUUCCCAGUAUCAGAUAUAUAUAUAUAUAUUAUAUGGUUUGGCUGUGUCCCCACCCAAAUAUCAUCUUGAAUUCCCACAUGUUGGGAGAGAGACCUGGUGGGAGGUAAUUAAAUCAUGGGGGUAUGUCUUUCCCAUUCUGUUCUUGUGAUAGUGAAUAAGUCUCAUGAGAUCUGAUGACUUUAUAAGGCAGAGUUUCCCUGCACAAGCUCUCUCUCUCCUUGUCUGCUGCCAUCCACGUAAGAUGUGACUUGCUCCUCCUUGCCUUCUGCCAUGACUGUGAGGUCUCUCCAGCCCUGUGAAACUGUAAGUCCAUUAAACCUCUUUCUUUUGUAAAGAAAAGAGACAUACCCAGUCUCUUUGUAAAAAGACAUACCAAGUAUCAGGUAUGUCUUUAACAGCAGCAUGAAAAUGGACUAAUACAAUAUCCUCUGUUGUCUUUCUCUCAAUUAUCAAUCUUCACUUGUCAGUGUAGGCAAUAGCCUCAUGUGGACCAUUUUGCUAGCUGUCAGAUUUUUCUGUUUUUCUGUCAUGUUAUAUUAAGGGUGUCAUCUAUUAUUGCCAUUAUUUCUAUCAUGCAAAGGGAUCACAGACAUGCACACUAGGAUCACAUGUUGCAGGUAUACCAUAGGGUUUAUUGGGCCAAAACUUACAAGCAGGGAAGUAGCAGAGUGCAUGCAACCCCCUAAACAUUUUCUGUUCCAUAGCAUAAACUGGGGUUAGAUAUAUUGUAUGUACCAUGGACAAGGUGCAAGCAGAGAGGAGCUUGCCAUGACCAGCAGGCUUGAGACAAAGCUGAACACAGUAUGGGGAGCACUUUCACCAGUGAGAAUGAGUCCACCUCAAACACUGUGUUGCCUAUUUAUAGAUUACCUAAGUGGGACUUGGAACAUCUAGUUUCUCUAGGCAACAAGAAAGAUAUCAAGGGAUGUCCAGAAAUAGCACAAAGCAAUAUGCAUACCAAGGGCCAAGGUCUGCCCACCAAAAGCUCUGGGAACAACCUUGCCUGCCAGGGAUGCUGACAUCAUCCCAAGCCUCGUCUCUUUGCAGAUGGCAGCUGAGCCAGGUCUUGGCUAAACUACCAAAAGAGGAAAGGAAAUAUGCUUCCAAGUCUAUUCAGAUUUGUCUCUCAUCAACUCCUCCUGACCUUAACGAUCUUUCUAGAGUGCCUUUCCCUACCACCAACUUUGACCACAUUUCUGAGACAAUGACUACUUGAUGCCUAUUUCCUCUUUAUUGUCUUUUAUAUUUCAUCAGUCUUGGACUUCUUUCUCUUCCUCCUCCUCCUUUUUGCCAUCCUUUAUUCAACUGAUUAUUAUGAUUCAAAACAUUUUCCAUUUUGGACAUGACAUUUGGUACAACUCUAAAAUACUUGUCACAUUGAAAGGCUACUGGGUGUCCCUGUAUGCACUGACUUUGCUACACAGCCCUGGGGUUUAAUCUCUUGGUGCCUUAUUUUUUUUUCACUUUUGUUAUUCAGUGAUCAUUAAGACAGGUAAUUUAGGUGAAAGCAUUUUAGACAUUAUAAGUGCUGCUCAAGUCAAAGACAUUAUUGAAGCUAUUUUAAUAGCAGUGGUGGAGAACUUGCUACAGAACGUUCUGGCCUUUCCCUUCAUCUGACUUCAUACAGACUGGGUAAUACUUCUCGAACUAACAGGAAGCUCAGAGAAUAAUGUCUGCUGCUAAACUGCACUUGUUGCAUUAUUUUAAGUAAGCAUUAGAAAAUUAUUAAGGUACAGAGCUUUGAAUAAUGGCUAAACAAUAUUUAAUAAUAACUGUUAAGGUUCUAAAACAUACAACCUAAGCAUAUCAUCUUGAACUAUCCUUAUUUCAAAUCCAUUGAGCCUCUUUCCAUUUCUGUCUCUCAAUCUUUGUCACUUUUAAUAUGACAGCCUUGUAUAAGAUGAAUAUAAAUUCUACAGAUAUUGAGUUAGAGGUUCAUAGCCAUGUUUAGCCAUUUACUAACUGUAUGCCUUUGGAAACUUAACCUUGCUGAACCUGAAUUUUCUUAAAUAUAAAAUGUGAUGAUGAUAUCUACCUUGUAGAUUUGCUAUGAAUAUGUGUAUUCAUUAAAAUUUCUUUCCAUCCGGGUGCGGUGGCUCAUGCCUGUAAUCUCAGCACUUUGGGAGGUCGAGGUGGGCGAAUCAUUUGAGCCCAGGAGUUCAAGACCUGCCUAGGUGACAUGGCAAAACCCCGUCUCUACAAGAAAUACAAAAAUACUCAUUGGGUGUGGUAGUGCACACCUGUAGUUCCAGCUACUCAAGAGCUGAGGUGGGAGGAUUGCUUGGACCUGGGAGGUGGAGGCUGCAGUGAAUCCAGAUCAUGCCACCGCACUCCAGCCUGUGCAACAGAGCAAUACUGCAUCAAAAACAAAAAACAAAAAACAAAAAUCAGGGAAAAUGAGUUCUUCCAUUGCAACUAACAGAAUACUUAAUUAAAAGAGGCUAAAGCAGGCUGGGUGUGGUGGCUCAUGCCCGUAAUCCCAGCAGUUUUGGAAGGCCAAGGCAGGGGGAUCACCUGAGGUCAGGAGUUUGAGACUAGCCUGGCCAAUAGGGUGAAACCCCACCUCUACUAAAAAUACAAAAGUUAGCUGGGCAUGGUGGCGGGCACCUGUAAUCCCAGCUACUUGAGAGGCUGAGGCAGGAGAAUUGCUUGAACCCAGGAGGCAGAGGUUGCAGUGAGUGAAGGUCACACCCCUGCACUCCAGCCUGGGUGACAGAGCAAGACUCUGUCUCAAAAAAAAAAAAAAAAAAAAAAAAAGGCUAAAGCAGUGAAUAUGUGUAUAUAUAUAUAUAUGUAUGUGUAUAUAUAUGUAUGUAUAUAUAUAUAUAGGCAAGAAAUCAAGGGUUGGAUAACUAUAAGAUUGGUUCAUUUAGUGGCUACAGAGUGUCAUGAGGAAGUGAGGUUUUUUCAUAGUUCUUUUCAGAUUGUUUCAUCCUUAGACUUGAACAGUCAUGCAAGAUGGCUGCCAAAAUACUAGGUUCAAUCUUCCUCAUCAUUGCUGCCAAGCAGGAAGGCUGGUUUUAUCUCAGAUAUCUCUGUAUGUCUUGGCUUUCCAGUCAAUAUUAGGGCAUAUGCCCAUGCCCUAACUGUCAGGGUAUCUGCAAAUGUUAGUAUCUGGCAGUUUUUGUCUCUAUCCUAGGCGAUGAGCCAUGAAAGCAGGGAACACACAGGUUGGCCUAAGUCGGAAACCAAUCAACACUGCCACCACGGGCAGUGAUACAUAGUAGGAGCUUCAUCAAUUUUAGUUUCCCGAUUUCCUCAUAUGUCUGGUUUUUUUCUCUCUCAAUCGGUUUUUUUGCUUCUAUUUUUCUAAUUCUCUUCAUGUUUUUUCUUCA